UUUAAUACGAAAAAAAUAUCAUUUGUAUAAAUCAAUAGUUAGGUAAUUAUUAAGUUACAUUUUAAAGUUUGUAUAUAAAAUUAAAAUUGAGUACAUGUGAACUCUGAGAAUGAAAAUUCAACCAAACUCCCCUAGACGAUAUGUCUAAGGAGUCUUCUAACAUUUGAAAGCUGAUCUCUCAAACAGAACUUUCAUUAAAGACUUACUACAAGUGCCAAAUCCGGCAACAUUACAUAACAAAGACACUUCAAUAACUGAAAUAAAUUAAUAAGACAAGAUGUAUUAGGGUCAUUUUUUUCAUGGAUAAAUAUUUUCUUCUAAGUUGAUACAACCGUACGGCUAUCCGAAUUUUCUUCUAAUUUUAUCUGUGAAUCACAAAAAAAUGGAAUAAUUAAUAGAAAAAAAUAAUACAGCAGAUUUAAAAAAAAAAAUAGAAAAAAAAAAACAAAAACAACCGAGGGGUGGGGGUUAGGCAGACCCCUGGCCUACCUGUAAAUAAAAUUAAACAUCAGCCAUUUGUUGGCACUUGCUUUAUUAUUUUCUUUCUAUUAUAUAUAUGAGAAUUUAUAUCUUUAAUUCUUUCUUGAGAUCUUACCGUUGAAUCGUUUUGGCGUGAAAAAUAAUGAUCUGAUAAUUAAGCGAUAUAAUAAAUGGAAUCAUGCAUGUCCCUCAAAAAAACAUACUCAUAGUUUAGUGCUUUGGUCAGAAAAACUAAUUAAUCUGACUAAGAAAAAGAAUCGUACCUCAACUUUCAGCUUUGGUAUUUCACCAUCAUUUUCCUUGGCUGAAAAACCGAUAACGAAUUGAUUGAAGCGGUUAUGACAUUAAUUAUCAGCAACAAAUUAAAGGAGCUGAAGAAAAAGAAAUGAGAGUAAAAAGAAAAGGAAAAUAUUAUUACCGCCUGUGCUGCCACAUGUUACAAUUUCGACAAGAUUAAGUAAGCCUUUCUUCAUGCUUUCGACAAUCUUCGCCAUUUUCUUUUUCUAAUAUGAGAGAGAGAGAGAGAGAGAGAGAGAGAGAGAGAGAGAGAGAGAGAGAGAGAGAGAGAGAGAGAGGAGAGAGAGAGAGAGAGA
rnacentral:lncRNA from 1 species